rnacentral:rRNA from 1 species
AUUGAACGCUGGCGGCAUGCCUUACACAUGCAAGUCGAACGGUAACAGGUCUUCGGAUGCUGACGAGUGGCGAACGGGUGAGUAAUACAUCGGAACGUGCCUAGUAGUGGGGGAUAACUACUCGAAAGAGUGGCUAAUACCGCAUGAGAUCUACGGAUGAAAGCAGGGGAUCGCAAGACCUUGUGCUACUAGCGCGGCCGAUGGCAGAUGAGGUAGUUGGUGGGAUAAAAGCUUACCAAGCCGACGAUCUGUAGCUGGUCUGAGAGGACGAUCAGCCACACUGGGACUGAGACACGGCCCAGACUCCUACGGGAGGCAGCAGUGGGGAAUUUUGGACAAUGGGCGCAAGCCUGAUCCAGCAAUGCCGCGUGCAGGAUGAAGGCCUUCGGGUUGUAAACUGCUUUUGUACGGAACGAAAAGCCCUGGGUUAAUACCCUGGGGUCAUGACGGUACCGUAAGAAUAAGCACCGGCUAACUACGUGCCAGCAGCAGCCGCCG